AUUGAACGCUGGCGGCAUGCCUAACACAUGCAAGUCGAACGAGUGGCAGACGGGUGAGUAAUGUAUGGGAAACUGCCUGAUGUAGGGGGAUAACUACUGGAAACGGUAGCUAAUACCGCAUACCAUCGGAUGUGCCCAGAUGGGAUGAGCUUGUUGGUGGGGUAACGGCGCACCAAGGCGACGACCCCUAGCUGGUCUGAGAGGAUGACCAGCCACACUGGAACUGAGACACGGUCCAGACACCUACGAGAGGCAGCAGUGGGGAAUAUUGCACAAUGGGCGCAAGCCUGAGGCAGCCAUGCCGCGUGUAUGAAGAAGGCUGUCGGGUUGUAAAGUACUUUCAUCGGGGAGGCGUUACCGACAGAAGAAGCACCGGCUAACUCCGUGCCAGCAGCCGCGGUAAUAC
rnacentral:rRNA from 1 species